rnacentral:rRNA from 1 species
GACGAACGCUGGCGGCGUGCUUAACACAUGCAAGUCGAACGGAAAGGCCCAGCUUGCUGGGUACUCGAGUGGCGAACGGGUGAGUAACACGGGGGGGAUCUGCCCUGCACUCUGGGAUAAGCCUGGAAAACUGGGUCUAAUACCGGAUAUGACCGACUGUCGCAGGGGGUUGGGGGGAAAGCUUUUGCGGGGUGGGAUGGGCCCGCGGCCUAUCAGCUUGUUGGUGGGGUAAUGGCCUACCAAGGCGACGACGGGUAGCCGACCUGAGAGGGUGAUCGGCCACACUGGGACUGAGACACGGCCCAGACUCCUACGGGAGGCAGCAGUGGGGAAUAUUGCACAAUGGGCGCAAGCCUGAUGCAGCGACGCCGCGUGAGGGAUGACGGCCUUCGGGUUGUAAACCUCUUUCACCAGGGACGAAGCGUGAGUGACGGUACCUGGAGAAGAAGCACCGGCCAACUACGUG